UAAGUAAUAUUGCACAUCACUACUCAACGAGUAAUUUUAUAUAUUCCCAAUCCCGAUUUACAUUCAGGAGAUCAUUAUUACCCAGACGUUAGCGGGACUCGCGCGGGAUCGGCCGUUCUUAUAAAUAGACGCGGAUUUAUAAUAUAAUAUUUGCGGAAUAGUGGAGUUACAAAAAUAAUUUGAUUAUUGUGUGUAUGUCAGUGGACAAUGAUUUUGAUUGGGUUCAAAAAGGACGUUCAAUUCGAAAUAUUUUGAGCCACAGAUACUCUAUUACUUCUUUUCAAUCUAUUUCACUUUUGAUUUUUCGAAUCAUGGUUAAGACUAACAAUGUGAAAAAGUUUUGUGUA